rnacentral:rRNA from 1 species
UACGUAGGGCGCAAGCGUUGUCCGGAAUUAUUGGGCGUAAAGAGCUCGUAGGCGGCUUGUCACGUCGGAUGUGAAAUCUCCAGGCUCAACCUGGAGGGGUCAUUCGAUACUGCCGUGACUAGAGGUCGGUAGGGGAGUGUGGAAUUCCUGGUGGAGCGGUGAAAUGCGCAGAUAUCAGGAGGAACACCCGUAGCGAAGGCGGCACUCUGGGCCGAUACUGACACUGAGGAGCGAAAGCGUGGGGAGCGAACAGG